rnacentral:lncRNA from 1 species
UUGUAAAACCACCUCUGAUUGGUCCGAUCCAAAGGCGGAGAUAACAAGCCUGAGAGGGUUUGAACCAGGAAAGCUGCCUCAUUCUACAGAAAGACGGGCAAAGGUAACAAUUCUCUCUCUUUCUCUUUAAUCCUAGCCUGUGCUCUCUAUCUUUGCUCUUUGCAAAGUGGACUCUCUCUUCGCUUUUCUUGUCUUGUAACCUGAAUGCUUUUUUACCCUGUGCUUACUAAACAGACUCUGCCUGCUUCUCUCUUUUUCAUUCUGAUUCCGCCAUGUGCUCUCUAUCUUUGCUCUUUUUUCUUAAUCUACACUGAUAUUGAAUAGUUUUAAUGCUUUUUUACCCCGUGCUUACCAAACAGGCUUUGCCUUUGUCAAUUUUCCUUUUAAACCUCGUUUUUUCUUAACCUACAUUGGUAUUAACUAGUUUUAAUGUGUUUUAUUUACUAGGGUUAAACCAAAAAAGCUACCUCGUUUUACAAAAAGACUGCAAAGGGUCUAAACCAAAAAAGUUGCCUCGUUUUACAAAAAGACUGCAAAGAUAUUGAUGACAGUAAAGAUGUGGAUCUGCCUCGCCUAUGCAAAAUAAUUGCAUUCCAUCUAAAAUCAACUCUUCAAAGGUUCAAGGACUAUUUCCCAUCAGACUCUGAUCCACAAAAAGGAAAACAAUGGGUUCAUGAUCCAUACUCCUCUCUAGAAACUGAGACCUCUUUGUCACUAUCACUGGAGGACAAGUUGCUGGAAAUGUCAAGUCAUGAGGGUCUGAAGUUACACUUUUAUUAAGUGACUCUAUCUGUUUUCUGGAUCAAAAUCAGGAGUGAAUACUCACAACUCAAUGAACAAGAUGUCAAAAUUUUGCUCAUGUUCCAUUCCACAUAUCUCUGCAAAACUGGAUUUUCAGUGAUGACUGCAACAAAAACAAAAUACAGCAACUGGCUGAGCAGUGGAAAGAUGCUCCAAGUGUCCUUGUCAAACAUUCAUCCCCGGAUUGAAAGAUUUGUGUCUUCAAGACAGGUAUAAACAUCUUGUUAUCAGUAUGGUGAGUGAAUCCAUCUGAUUGUUUAUUAUUAUUUUUUAAAACUAAAUCAAUUGAAUUAUCUCUAAUGUACAAAAUGAGGUAUACAGUUAUAGACAAAAUUAUUGGUAACCUGAUUUUUAAACAUUGUUUCAAAUGAAGGGUAACAUUUUUCAUAUCACAUAACUAGAUGAACUGUUGGUAAGCAAGUAAGAAGUAUCUUACAUGCAGAUAGUACAAAAAGGCAACUCCUGGCAAUACUGAAAAAACAGCAAUAAACACCAGUGAAACACUGUUUGCUUUUUGUUU